GGUGAGGAAGAAGAUGAUGGAGAAGAUGAUCUCCUCCUAGAUCUUCUUCUCCUUCUUUUCUUUUUUUCUUCUCUUUUCCUCUUUUUUCCUUCUUUUUUUCCUUCUCUUCUUUCCACUUUUUCUUUCCACAGUUGAGAGAGAGAGGGAGAGAGAGAGCUGCUGUAAAGGGAAGGGUUGGGGAGUUCUAAUGUGUUGCAACAAUUGCUAAUAAACCCCCCAAACAUUUAUAAUUACAGCAGACCAAUUCUGUACUGUUCUGCCACUGCGUACCUGUACACGGGCUGGUGUCACCGGUACACGGUCGCGCAACAACAAAACCCGAGAGCUAUCUUCUCGAAUUUUACACUGCGUACCGGUACACGGGCUGGUGUCACCGGUACACAGCCUUUUUCAGGACUUAGCCAAUUUUCAGCUUUUUCUCCGUUUUCGCUCGUUUUCGUUCGUUAGGCCUCCGAUUCAUUUCAAAUCGCACCGAGACCCCAAAACAUAUUUUCGAUCACGAUUUCAUCAUCUUUUCAUCCACACUAAUGUCGGAUUUAGCUCAUAGUCCGACAUAGCCUUUCGGGUCCCGUUUUCGCGCCCACGCGCACCGAAAACACCCAAUGCUCCCGACCUCAAUCUUGCAUUGUUUCGACUCCAAUUCGCACCGAGCAAUACUAAAACGUUUCUAACCUCAUUGGAACUCACUUUUAACCCUUCCAACACUGUUGGAAUGUUAAAUAGACUUCAUCCAACCAC
rnacentral:lncRNA from 1 species